rnacentral:lncRNA from 1 species
UGGCGCCCUGGAGGACGAGGUCCACCUGCAGCCGAUUCCCGAGCCCAGGUCGGUCAGUUGGUUUUCAAGUUUCGGCCAGAUCAACAAGUACUUGGAGAAGCUCUUCAGCAACAGUUCGAAGAAAUUCAAAAACCUCAUGAAACCCUCCAACACCACCAAAUCUGCCCCAUCGAACACCACAGAACGUCCUUACUUGGAUGCCACGAACCCCCUACGGAAAAGCAUCAGCAAACCCCCAACACAGGAACCCCGCGGACGCCUGUCACUAGCCUCCUCCCCAGGCUCCAGCCUGAACAAUAGACAGCAAUAAUGGAACUGACAAGAUGGCUCAGUGGUAAGGGCACUUGCCACUAAGCCUGCCGGCCAGAUUUCCACCCCCAAUCUCAUAAGACAGAAGAAAGGACACGUGUACCGUGACUUGCGUGUGCACACAUGUAAUGCAAACACACAAUGACAAUAAA